GACGAACGCUGGCGGCGUGCUUAACACAUGCAAGUCGAACGGAAAGGCCCUGCUUGCAGGGUACUCGAGUGGCGAACGGGUGAGUAACACGUGGGUGUUCCGCCCUGCACUUCGGGAUAAGCCUUGAAAACUGGGUCUAAUAUCGGAUAGGGGCCCUCCUUCGUGAGGUGGUUGGAUAGUUUGUUCGGUGUGGGAUGAGCUCGCGGCCUAUCAGCUUGUUGGUGGGGUAAUGGCCUACCAAGGCGGCGACGGGUAGCCGGCCUGAGAGGGUGGACGGCCACAUUGGGACUGAGAUACGGCCCAGACUCCUACGGGAGGCAGCAGUGGGGAAUAUUGCACAAUGGGCGGAAGCCUGAUGCAGCGACGCCGCGUGGGGGAUGACGGCCUUCGGGUUGUAAACUGCUUUCGCUAGGGACGAAGCGUUUGCGACGGUACCUAGAUAAGAAGCACCGGCUAACUACGUG
rnacentral:rRNA from 1 species